GAUCACCUUAUCAAGACGGUGUGCAGAACCCAUGAGUCACUCAUGCCGGCUCAAGGUCAAGGUCACAACUUAGGGUCAAAGGUUUGAACCUUCCAUUUUGUGUCCGCUCUAUAUCUCCUAAACCCCUUGAAGGAUUUUCAUCAAACUUGGGUCAAACGAUCACCUCAUCAAGGCAAUGUGCAGAACUUAUGAGUCAGCCGUGUCAGCUCAAGGUCAAGGUCACAACUGAAGGUCAAAGGUUUGAGCUUUCCAUUUCGUGUCCACUCUAUAUCUCCUAAACCCCUUGAAGGAAUUUUAUAAAACCUGGGUCAAAUGAUAACCUCAUCAAGACGAUGUGCAGAAAUUAUGAGUCAACCAUGCCAGCUCAAGGUCAAGGUCACAACUAAGGGUCGAUAUUUUGAGCCUUCCAUUUGGUGUCCACUCUGUAUCUCCUUAACCCCUUGAAGGAUUUUCAUCAAACUUUGGUCAAAUGAUCACCUCAUCAAGAACUCAUGAGUCAGCCAUGUCAACUCAAGGUCAAGGUCACAACUGAAGGUCAAAGGUUUCAGCUCUGUAUCUCCUAAACCCCUUGAAGGAUUUUCAUGAAACUUUGGUCAAAUGAUCACCUCAUCAAGACGUUGUGCAGAAUUCAUGAGUCAGCUGUGUCAGUUCAAGGUCAAGGUCACAGCUAAAAUCAAAGGUUUUACCCUUUCACUAUCCAUAGCAAUGGCGGGGGAUUUAGCUGUCUUUCAGACUGCCUUGUUUAAAAUGCUCCAAAUAUGAUAUGAAAAAGUUCAGACAUUGACAAUUUGAAUUUGUUACAACCUCAGUGUUCAAGUUUAUUCAAUAAAUUUAUAUCCCUGAUUCCUACUAAUUUAUUUGUUUUUGCACUUUUUCUGUACAUGCUUUUUUGUACACAAUUUAUGUAGAGAUGGUUUUCAGCUAGUUCGCGGGAUGUUCGCAGCAACUAGUUUGCGGGAUGUUCGCAGCAACUAGUUUGCGGGAUGUUCGCAGCAACUAGUUCGUGGGAUGAUCGCGGCAACUUGUUCGCGGGAAGUUCACAGCUACCUGUUCGCGGGAAGUUCGUGGCAACUUGUUCGCGGCAAAACUAAUUUGCAGGUGAAAAGUGAACACCAAACGAACCUCCCGCGAACUAUUAUACCAAUUGUAUCAAAAGUGUUCACGGCAUAUUCGCUGGAUAUUUGUGGCAUGAUCGCAGCAAGUGUUCGCGGCAAACUAUAAUAUUUCCGUAAGGGACUGCUUCUGCCCUUUGAAAAUCAUCAUGUCACAUGGAAAAUCACCAUACAGAUUCUCAUGUCUGGCGACUGCCAUCCGAACCUGGGACCAACUAAUUAUAAGUUUCCAUGUGGAAUCUGCGAAAAGCCCUGUAGAUCCAACCAAUGUGCUGUUGCCUGUGACAGUGAAAAGUGUGACGGAUGGUAUCACGCCAAGUGCAUGAGGAUGAACACAGCAGUUUACAGAGGUCUGACUCCUACUUUAAUACUAGCUGGAUCUGCUUCUACUGUGGCGUUCCAAAUUUCUCCUCCACGCUGUUCAACACACUUUCAUCAGACUCGCUGAACUAUUCCAUUGCCACAGAGAACACCUACAGCGUUCUCUCCGACACGCCUCACACCCCCGACAGCAGCAACGUCACGUCCAGCUUCAGCUCUGCGAACCAUUCUAUAGGGUCACCACAAUACACUUCAUCACCCAUCCAUCGCAGACCACCACCCAACAAGGAAACAGGAGCUUCAAGUCUGCGGGUCCUUGUUAUUAACUUCCAGAGCAUGAGGACGAAACGUACAUCUUUCUGGCUCCUAAAAGAAGAAGCAGACCCUGACAUCAUUAUAGGCAGUGAAACCUGGCUGUACCCUGCAGUAUCUGACCAAGAAGUACUUCCAGCAGGCUAUCGCUUCAUUACACGAAGGGACAGAACUUGACCUAGUGACCUACUUUCAAAUUUCUCAAGCUACAGCCUUCAAAUUUGGACCACUUUCAUGGAUUUGUUUGCUGAAAUAAACUGUGACCUUGACAUUUGCAUGGUGACCUACUUUCACAUUUUUGAAGGUACAGGCUUCAAAUUUGGACCACAUACAUAGUUUAUGUUCCGAAAUGAAAUUUUUACCUUGAUUUUGACUUAGUGGCCUACUUUUACAUUUCUCAAGCUGCAGCCUUCAGAUUUGGACCACAUGCAUAGUUUUGUGUACCGAAAUGAACUUUGACCUUGAGAUUGACCCAGUGACCUACUUUCUCAUUUCUGAGCUACAGCCUUCAAAUUUGGACCACAUGCAUAGGUUUGUUGACUGAAAUAAACUUUGACCCUGACAUUGACCUAGUGACCUACUUUCACAUUUUUGAAGGUACAGGCUUCAAAUUUGGACCACAUGCAUAGUUUUGUGUUCCGAAAUGAAAUUUGACUUUGAUUUUGACCUAGGGACCUUCUUUCAUAUUUCUCAAGCUACAACCUUCAAAUUUUGACCAUGUGUUGUUUUGUGUACCAAAAUGAACUUUGACCUUGAUUUUGACCUUGAGCUAGUCAUGAAAUUUGGAACAUUCAAAAAUGGCUCAAUGGUGGGCGCCAAGAUCACUCUGUGAUCUCUUAUCAUUGCUCACAAUUGAUCUUCUGGUGUUCUGUAUCAGUUAGAAAUAUCAUAUAUUACAUAACAAGAAGAUAUACAUUAUUUGACAUAGAAACACUUGCCAUCUUUAUUAUAUAGCUGAUACUGUAAUUAAUAAAGAAUUUUAUUUCUCAGAGUGAUGUUUCUAACUUCAGAUCAUAAAAUGACACCUCUUUAGAUGCAAGUGCUCAUAGAUUUGUAUGACCCUAACUAGAGUGCACAGUCAGACAAAAUAGCACCAGUUGCUGAGAACCAAGUUUCCCAGAAACAGAUAAUUUAAACGCCCAUUGAAACCAGAGAUUACAUUUAUUGGAGAUAAUUUGACGAAGACAGUUGUAGAGUUGUUACAUGAGACAAUUAGGGAGAGUGAGUUUACAUUUUGCUGGAACCUUGUUACAGAUUUGCAGUAUCAGACAGUAUCCUAGGAAACCCACAGCCAUUCUAGAUAUAGGACCAACACAAUCAGACAAGUCGGCAAGAUCUUUCUUUCAAGAGUGGCGACAUUCUGCCCAAGAUUCAAGUCUGGAGAUUCCAUUGGCUGAUCUUAGAAUCUUUUUUUUUUUUUUGGAUUAAAGUCUAAAAAUGACAUUGACUUAAGACUACAUGUAUACUGUUUUCAGUCAAAGGCUUUUUAUGAACAUAUUAAGAUCUGGAAAAUAACUAUAUUGGAGACAAGUUUGUAUGACAAAAUGAAAGAAAGAAAACGGUUUUUAUGUUACAAAGAUUUUUUUAAAUACUUUUGAAGAGACAUUAUCAAAGAGGAUACUACACGAGUUUCUUUUCAUAUUGAAGAUAUUAAACGAGAUGAAUAAAACAAUAAAAUGCAAGGCUCUGCCGAGCAUUUUAUUAAUUUCAUUCAAUGAGUUGAUAAAUUUAAUGUGGAAAGUCACAAAUGUAAUAUUCUUUUUAUCACAUGUUAGCCGAAACAUCAAAAAUUCUACUUUCUUUAACUAUUAUAAACAAGUCAAUUUGACCAAUGUUUCCAACACUUAAGUGUUAUCGACGUCAAAGCUUUAUUACACUAGUGUAUUGUCAUUUUUAUGUAUUGGCUUUAUUUCACUCCUGCGAGGUCAAACAUGUGAUAAAUGUCUUUUAAAAAUACAAGACUGCAGUAACUGCUUUUUAAAAAGUUUUCAGAAAGUGUAAAAAGAAACUGCUUUUUCUACCUGAAGAUAUGUGUCAUGCAGUGACAUAAGUGUUAAACAACGGUUAAAUUAUUUGUUUUAAAAUAUUUAAAAAUAGUUGUAUAUGUAAAAACUCUAGCUUUGUCAAUAAUUUUAAAAGAACAAAAAGAAUUUACAUGCUGUCAUUAUAAAAAUGUUUUAUUUCUUACUAAACAUUGAUAAAAUCUUGCAGUGUCAAACUAAUUGCUAUUAUACGUCUGUUAAUGCUCUUAUUGCAUUUUAUUAUAUAAUCUUAAUAUCUGUUUAUGAGAUAAUAAUCUUUUGACACGCAAGGACAGAGGUCCCUGGUCACGUGAAAUCACAUGAAAUCUCACUAGAUAUCGCGGUAUGCGAGAUUUGUUGCUAGGGGACAUGUAUGUUUCCUGCAAUAUCAUUGGUUAAUUUUCUUGUUGUCAUGAAAAUCAUUAAAAGUUAAUGAUAACAAUGGACAGAAGAAUUUUACCUACGAGAUAAGAAGGACAUAUACUUCUGUGUUUCAUGUCAAGAUAUCCGACUUGAUAAUUACAAAGUUUUAAUUAAUUUAGUUGUGUUUUUAGAAAUUAUUGUUGUUAUGUGGACAUCCAUAUAUUGUUGUUGAAAACUGAAUAAAAGAAGAAACAGAA